GGAGAGAUGACCGAGCGGCUGAAGGUGCACGCCUGGAAAGCGUGUGUAGGGGCAACUCUACCGAGGGUUCGAAUCCCUCUCUCUCCGCCA
rnacentral:tRNA from 1 species